ACGAACGCUUGCGGCGUGCCUAAGAAAUGCAAGUCGAGCGAGGGAAGCAAUUCCCUAGCGGCGAACGGUCGCGUAACACGUAAGCAACCAUGCCUCGAAGACCGGGACAACUCCUCGAAGGGGAGGCUAAUACCGGAUUGGUCGGAGGGAGACAUCUUCUUCUGAGGUAAAGCGGCUUCGUGCUGGCUUCGAGAGGGGCUUGCGGCCUAUCAGCUAGAUGGUGGGGUAAAAGCCUACCAUGGCGACGACGGUAGCUGGUCUGAGAGGAUGGUCAGCCGCGGACUGGACUGAGAGACGGCCAGACUCCUACGGGGGGGCAGCAAUUAGGAAUCUUGUGCAAUGGGGCAACCCUGACACAGCGACGCCGCCGUGGAGGAGGAAGGCCUUCGGGUUGUAAACUCCUUUUUGCCGAGGAAGAAACAAAUGACGGUACUCGGUGAAUAAGCCCCGGCUAACUCCGUGCCAGUAGCCGCGGUAAUACGGAGGGGGCGAGCGUUGUCCGAAGUUACUGGGCGUAAAGCGCGCGUAGGCGGGAAGGCCAAGUCCGCUGUGAAAGCCUGGAGCUCAGCUCCAGCCGGGUCGGUGGAUACUGGUUUUCUUGAAGCUGCUAGGGGAAGAUGGAAUUACCGGUGUAGCGGUGAAAUGCGUAGAGAUCGGUAGGAACACCAGUGGCGAAGGCGGUCUUCUGGAGCAGACUGACGCUGAGGCGCGAAAGCUGGGGGAGCGAACGGGAUUAGAUACCCCGGUAGUCCCAGCCCUAAACGAUGGAUACUAGGUGUCGGGGUAUCGACCCCUCCGGUGCCGCCGCUAACGCAGUAAGUAUCCCGCCUGGGGAGUACGGCCGCAAGGUUGAAACUCAAAGGAAUUGACGGGGGCCCGCACAAGCGGUGGAGCAUGUUGUUUAAUUACGUCACUAACCGUAGAACCUUACCAGGGUUUGACAUCUAGCGCACCGGGGUUGAAAGCCUCGUUCCCCGCAAGGGGACGCUAAGACAGGUGUUGCAUGGCUGUCGUCAGCUCGUGUCGUGAGAUGUUGGGUUAAGUCCCCAACGAGCGCAACCCUCAUCCCAUGUUGCCAUCGGGUGAAGCCGGGAAACUCUGGGAAACUGCCGGGGUAACUCGGAGGAAGGUGAGGAUGACGUCAAGUCAGCAUGGCCCUUACACCCUGGGCUAACAAACAUGCUACAAUGGACGGUAGACAGAGCGAUCCAAGCGGGUGACCGGGUGGCAAUCGCACAAAUCCGUUCUCAGUUCGGAUUGCAGGCUGCAACUCGCCUGCAUGAAGCCGGAAUCGCUAGUAACCGCAGAUCAGCGAAGCUGCGGUGAAUACGUUCCCGGCCUUGUACACACCGCCCGUCACGUCACCUGAGUUGUCUGCACCCGAAGUCGGUGGGGUAACCCCCUUCUGGCUAGUCGUCUUUCUCGCCGGUUGUCUUCCCGUUU
rnacentral:rRNA from 1 species